UGGAACAUAACAGAAAUUUUACAUUUACUUUUGUGUGAUUUUUGUCUGUAAGCAACGCUGGAUGGAUCAUGAAAACAGGAUCAAGCUGUGUAGAAGUACAGGAUGCAAGUGUUAAAAACAUCGGUCAGCAUCUUGGUUUACCCCAAGUGCCGUGAACCACACCCAUCCACACCUCCUUCCAGGGUGUCAGGAACCUUCCAGACAGCUACUUCCACAAGCAAACUUCAGAAGUUUGCAAGAGAAGGAGAGAAGGAGAGAGUUUGUUUUGUUUAG
rnacentral:lncRNA from 1 species